UACGUAGGGUGCAAGCGUUAAUCGGAAUACUGGGCGUAAAGCGUGCGCAGGCGGUGAUGUAAGACAGUUGUGAAAUCCCCGGGCUCAACCUGGGAACUGCAUCUGUGACUGCAUCGCUGGAGUGCGGCAGAGGGGAUGGAAUUCCGCGUGUAGCAGUGAAAUGCGUAGAUAUGCGGAGGAACACCGAUGGCGAAGGCAAUCCCCUGGGCCUGCACUGACGCUCAUGCACGAAAGCGUGGGGAGCAAACAGG
rnacentral:rRNA from 1 species